ensembl:snoRNA LOC120101306 small nucleolar RNA SNORA17
CCUACCCCUAGAGGCAUUGCAGGUGUGGCUGCUGUGUCACGUGUGCAUCAUUAGGUGGCAGAGAGAAUCUAUGUCUACACCAGUGUUUUGACCUGUGAACAUCUGGUAAUAAUUAGUAGC